rnacentral:rRNA from 1 species
AGAAAUAACAAUACAGGGCUAAUGUCUUGUAAUUGGAAUGAUGGUGACCCAAACCCUCACCAGAGUAGCAAUUGGAGGGCAAGUCUGGUGCCAGCAGCCGCGGUAAUUCCAGCUCCAAUAGCGUAUAUUAAACUUGUUGCAGUUAAAAAGCUCGUAGUUGAAUUUUAGCGUGUUCGAGUUUGCCAUUCGUUUGGCUUUUUCGAGUUCGCUUUUGGGUUUUCCCUUUUUACUUUGAGAAAAUUAGAGUGUUUCAAGCAGACUUUUGUCUUGAAUACUUCAGCAUGGAAUAA